rnacentral:rRNA from 1 species
GCUUGCUAUAGAGAAUAGUUAGUGGCAGACGGGUGAGUAAUGCAUAGGAAUCUACCUAGUAGUAUGGGAUAGCCACUAGAAAUGGUGGGUAAUACUGUAUAAUCCCUGCGGGGGAAAGAUUUAUCGCUAUUAGAUGAGCCUAUGUUAGAUUAGCUAGUUGGUAGGGUAAAGGCCUACCAAGGCGAUGAUCUAUAGCUGGUCUGAGAGGAUGAUCAGCCACACUGGAACUGAGAUACGGUCCAGACUCCUACGGGAGGCAGCAGUGGGGAAUAUUGGACAAUGGGCGCAAGCCUGAUCCAGCUAUGCCGCGUGAGUGAGGAAGGCCUUAGGGUUGUAAAACUCUUUCAGUAGGGAAGAUAAUGACGGUACCUACAGAAGAAGUCCCGGCAAACUCCGUGCCAGCAGCCGCGGUAAUACGGAGGGGGCAAGCGUUGUUCGGAAUUAUUGGGCGUAAAGGGCAUGUAGGCGGUUCGGUAAGUUAAAGGUGAAAUGCCAGGGCUUAACCCUGGAGCUGC